CUAAAGCAAGCAUGUGUGAAGGCCUAGGGCUUUUUGUAUCAGUAUAAACAAAAUGCAGCAGGGCAUGUCCAUGAGUUUCUUUUUGCCAUACUGAUGAAAGACUAGAGAUGAAAAAGUUACACUGUUCUUUGUGGGGGGAGGAGUAAGCAUUAGGAUGAAAGUCACUUCCAGAAACCACUAGGUAGGCAUGAGGUUGUAAGGAAGGCUACGCUCCUGGCUUCCUUCCAUAUUCGUGGUUUUAUCCUACUGCCCCUGCCAGACCUCUUAUCAUAGCUAUAAACAUUUCUAUAGCUAUAAGCAUAUUUUCAUUUGCAUGACCUUCACUUAUUUCUGCAAAGUCCAUAGCUAAAAGUCUUGGACACAGCCGUCACGUGCUGCUCCAGCCAACUUCCCAUGAGGUCAGUCCUUAUGCAUCGCCAUCCUGACUGUUGGUGGCCGCAGCGCUCAUCCUCAGCCCCAGGUGUGCAACAAAAAAGGAGCUUCUCCCAACUCCUAAUUGCAUGGAAAGGCUGCAGGGAUACAGAGAUGAAUGGCAUGGCCAGGCACGUACAGUGCGAGGGGCUGCAGGCCUGCAUGUGGAAUGUCUCAUCACAGCCUCCAGUUGUCCCAGUAGCAUGCACAGAGGGCACGGGUGAGUCUGGAGGAGCCAUUGAAGACUUCUCUAGGGAGAGACGUUUGUGUGAGAUCACAGACGAUGUGUGGGCAUGUGCCAGGUGGCAAAGAAGAGAAGGCUUGUGAGGAAUGAAACUUGGCAUUCAUAAAACCAGUGUUUUUCUCAAAAGCCAGUGUCUUGCAUUUAAGUGGGAUUAGAAAUAAAUAUUCCCAACACAUGCAGGUGAGGAAGAUCUGUGGCCCAGGGCAGCCCAGGAGAGAGGACCUUUCUCUGCCAGGACAGAUCCCCUUCAGGAGGCCCCUGAUGGAAAGGCAGUGGUGGGCCUGGGGAUUCCAGGAUGUUGGACUCCUGCCCUGGAUGGAGAGGCUCAAUUUAGUGUCAUGAAGGAGCUGGAGUGAGCAGGUCCCCAAGGGAGGCAGUAUGGAGUGGGACCUGAGCUAGAGGCUGGAACUGUGUCUGACUCCACCACGGACUGGCCAGUGUGGGUCCCUCUGGCUGUUCCUGUGCCUGCCUGUCCUCAGCCUCAGCAAAAUGAGCAGCGAGAGAAGGUGAUACCAAGAUCCGUUCCAGCUCCCGAGCCUCUGACUCCAGCUGCCUGGCUCUGAAAUCACCGGCUGCCCCCUGAAGUCCACCACUCUCCUGUUGGUGCCCGUGCUCCUUCCCCUGAAUCACAAGGGCACUGGCCGUGUCCCUAUUGUCCUGGCUGUGUACAACCUCUACCAAGGGGUUACCCCGUCUAGAUCAUCUCCUUGGUCCUUAUCAGCAAUUUGGGCUUCCCUUUCUUCCUGUGUCCUCUCUCUGUGAGAUGGUAAGUGUGGUAAAACAAACAAGCAAGCAAACAAAACCACCGUCCUGCUUGAAAAGCAAUUUAAAGGCAGAGGGAUUUUAGAAUAGCGCACCUUCCACCUAGUCAUCCCUGGAUCCCGUUUCCUUACAUCCUUUCAGAUCCCCUUCCACCUGGAAGUGUGCGCCUCCAAAAGCAGUGGCAGGUUCUGCUUCACACCCCAAGAAUGACGCCUGGCAUACACUGAUCCUGCUGCCUUAGGAGGAGAUACUCAAGCGCUGGAAGUCUGCCCUGCCUGCAGAAAAGGCUCCGUUCAGCAGCUGCAUACUGCAUUUUCCAUGUGUAUGUGACUUUAACACAGGGGAGAGAGAGGGCUACUGUCUUGCCACCCAGAUGUGUAUUAUAGAUGUACACGGGACUAGUAUCCAUGUGUACAGCAUCCUGUAUGGUGUGUAUGCAACAUGCAUACCAUAUAUAGGUAAUGUGUUGAGAUCUGGGCAGACUUCCGAUAGCGUUUGCAUGAGUAAGGAAACCUGCCUGUCUCUUGGUCCUUUUAAUGGUGACCUGACCUGAAUAGCUGUUUACAUUUUUUUAUUUAAAAAAAAAUCUCCAAAGCAAUGGUCUCCACGUGCCAGUCCCUGAACAAUGAAGUUUUCAACAGCUUCCAUAAAAACAAAUAAAGCAGGACAAUGUACAGUUAGCCCUCCAUAUCCAUGGGUUCUGCAUUCCUGGAUUCAACUAACUGCAGAGCAAAAAACAAAAAAAUUUUAAUGCAUCUGUACUGAACAAGUGCAGAGGUUUUUGGUUACUAUUCCCUAAACAAAACAGUAUGACAACUAUCAACAUUGCAUUUUCAUUGUAUUUGGUAUUGUAAGUAAUCUAGAAAUGGGAAGAUGUGUGAAGGUUAUCUGCAAAUACAACACCAUUUUAUAUCAGAGACUUUAGCAUCCAUGGAUUCUGGGAUCCAGGGGGGUUCCUGGAACUAGUCUCCCAUGGAUACCAAG
rnacentral:lncRNA from 10 species